rnacentral:rRNA from 1 species
GAUCCUGGCUUAGGAUGAACGCUAGCUACAGGCUUAACACAUGCAAGUCGAGGGGUAGCAGGGUAGCAAUACCGCUGACGACCGGCGCACGGGUGAGUAACACGUAUCCAACCUUCCCAUAACUCAGGGAUAGCCUUUCGAAAGAAAGAUUAAUACCUGAUAGUACUUUUUCAAGGCAUCUUGAGAAAGUUAAAGAUUUAUUGGUUAUGGAUGGGGAUGCGUUCCAUUAGAUAGUUGGUGAGGUAACGGCUCACCAAGUCUUCGAUGGAUAGGGGUUCUGAGAGGAAGGUCCCCCACAUUGGUACUGAGACACGGACCAAACUCCUACGGGAGGCAGCAGCGAGGAAUAUUGGUCAAUGGGCGAGAGCCUGAACCAGCCAAGUAGCGUGAAGGAUGAAGGUCCUAUGGAUUGUAAACUUCUUUUAUAGUAGAAUAAAGUGAUCCACGUGUGGAUUUUUGUAUGUAUACUAUGAAUAAGGAUCGGCUAACUCCGUGCCAGCAGCCGC